rnacentral:tRNA from 1 species
GGAUUGUGGCUCAAUGGUAGAGUGCUCGCCUAGCAUGUGUGAGGCCCUGGGUUCGAUCCUCAGCACCA